AAUACUGCAUGACUUUGAUGUGCGCGCGCGCGUCUCAUUCCAACACUGGAGAGGAGGGGAUGUUGCUAUGGGAAACGAAGCUACAACACGACACGACACCACCUGAAAGACACAACACGACUUCUCUCAAGCUGCCGUUUUGACAGUUUUCAGGAGUGAGAGAAUAACCCCCUGCUACAGAAAACAUAACACAAGAUUCCUAAAUUUCUGAAGGGAGCUGAUCACAGAGAUGCAGAAAAGACAAGAGGUCAAAGUUUAACCUAAGUGCCGUGUAGCUGAUGAACAUCUUUAUAUGUAAGUAUAUUUUUGACGGACUGCCAGACACUUGUCAAACAGUGAUGAGCAAACGAGGGGCGGUUCUUUUAAAAAGAUCAGGGAGAUGCAAGUCUAGAGAUUAAUAUACGUUUUAAUUCAAAAUUGAUUUAUCUGGAAAAAUUUAAUAAUGUUUUGAGAUGUGCCCUAUAUGCAUUUAGAUGUCCAUCCAUGUUUAAAAUACUUUU